AAUGGGAAAGUGUAGUGAAAUUAUCUAUUGCCAACGAGAUAUAACGUAAUAAACGUGUAUCUCCAUUGUAAACAACUAGUCAUUGUGAUGGAACAGUCGCUAGCAGAUAGCGGGCCGGGGGUGGCGGCACGGACGGACGCAGAGCACCAGCCGCUAGCGGAGCCCUACGUGUGCCCGAUCGCACCGGCAUCAGCGAUGUUAUCGUCGAUACCUUGCCGAUUGGUGGAGUGAAGUGUUUGCGAAGCCGAUACGGCUCGCGGGGACCAAUCGAUUUCCCGUUUCAUCGAAUCUUAUCACAAUCAUGGUGGACAUUCAUACCUCUUGUCAGUUUCUGAUAUCGUAUCUGAAGAUAUCAUGGAGUGUAUAAAUAUGGGACCAUCGAUCGAUCGGGUCUCUAUCGAAGUUUGCGCUGUGAUUAAGAUUGACUGACUACCGAGACCUCUCUGUGUCCUCCUUGGUGCCCCAGGCGACAUCAUGAACCAUUGGAAAGAAGCUCACGUUAGGCUUCACGUCUGAGUUGGACAGGGGAUCUUGACAGUUUGAUACUGAAUGCUGCCAGAUCUAUCUUUCCAGCUCACGCGUGGAACCUCCUACAACAAACACCGCCACGAGCAUCGACGUGUUAACACUGGAAAAUAUGUUGGCGUUAAGGAUUAAGUGGAGGUGUGAUCUCUUCACUUUUUAUGAUUAAAGUGAGAUUCAACUCCUCCAACUUAACCCUAAAUCGCAAAAUUCGUCGUCCGUCGAUCUUGCAGCUGUUGUGAUUGAUUUGUUAUGUAUUUUUAUUUUAUGUUAAUACUAUGUAUGUAUAAAAUUAUGUCGAAAAUAUAUUGUAAAUGAA